AUUGAACGCUGGCGGCAGGCUUAACACAUGCAAGUCGAGCGAGCGGCGGACGGGUGAGUGAUGUCUGGGAAACUGCCUGAUGGAGGGGGCUAACUACUGUAACCGGUAGCUAAUACCGCAUACCAUCAGAUGUGCCCAGAUGGGAUUAGCUAGGAGGUGGGGUAAUGGCUCACCUAGGCGACGAUCCCUAGCUGGUCUGAGAGGAUGAACAGACACACUGGAACUGAGACACGGGCCAGACUCCUACGGGAGGCAGCAGUGGGGAAUAUUGCACAAUGGGCGCAAGCCUGAUGCAGCCAUGCCGCGUGUGUGAAGAAGGCCUUCGGGUUGUAAAGCACUUUCAGCGAGGAGGCGUUACUCGAAGAAGAAGCACCGGCUAACUCCGUGCCAGCAGCCGCGGUAAUUC
rnacentral:rRNA from 1 species